rnacentral:rRNA from 1 species
UACAGAGGGUGCUAGCGUUGUUCGGAAUCAUUGGGCGUAAAGGGCGUGUAGGCGGUUUGUUAAGUCAUGUGUGAAAUCCCUCGGCUCAACCGGGGAACGACGCAUGAAACUGGCAAGCUAGAGUACCAAAGAGGGGGGUGGAAUUCCCGGUGUAGCGGUGAAAUGCGUAGAUAUCAAGAGGAACACCGGUGGCGAAGGCGGCUCUCUGGUCCAAUCCUGACGCUGAGGUGCGAAAGCUAGGGGAGCAAACGGG